AUCCAGUUGAUGAGUCCCAAAUAGGACGAAAUUCACAUCUUGGAA
rfam:Schistosoma mansoni strain Puerto Rico chromosome 7, complete genome